rnacentral:rRNA from 1 species
GAUCCGCUNAGGAGUGUNACGACUCACCUGCCNAAUCGAUCUGCCCUGAAAAUGGAUGGCGCNUAAAGCGUCGGGCCGAUGCCGGACCGUCGUCGCAAACGAAUCGCNNNAAAAAGAUGACUUCGAANNAAAAAACGAAGUUCCUNAAACCGAGGAACCAGGCGUCGACGANUAGGAGGGCGCCGCGGUGCGCUUAGAAACCAUUCGGGCGCGAGUCUGGGCGGAGCC